UCCGGUUGAUCCUGCCGGUAUCUCAUCUCUUUGUUAAAAGAUUAAUCCAUGCAUGUGUUCGGCACAAUUACAGUGCCUGCGUACGGCUCAUUAAAACAAGGAUAACUUGUCCUCCAGUAUAUUCGGAUAACUUUGCUAAUUGUGAGGCUAAUACGUGAUGGCAGGAUGUUAUGCGUCGCUCUGAUUAUAGAAUUGUAAGUUACGGAGAGUAAUUGGACGUUUAGAUAUAUUCUAAGGAGGGGAGGUCUUUGAUCUAUCAGCUACAGACGGUUCUGUAUUGGAUAACCGUGGCUUUGACGGAUGACGGGGAAUUAGGGUUUGAUUCCGGAGAGAGCGCAUGAGAAAUCGCGCUUACAGCUAAGGUUGGCAGCAGGAGCGAAAACUUUUCGAAUGGGCGACGCUUGAAAAGGUGACGAACUGUAUCAACGUCAGCGUUUUGUUGAUGAUUGAAAUGGGAGACGCAUAGAUGACGCUUCGAUGAGCUAGUUCAGGGCAAGUCUGGUGCCAGCAGCCGCGGUAAUACCAGCUGAGCUAGGGAUGGGUAUUUUUGUUGCAGUAAAAACAUUCGUAGUCACCCGUAGAUGUUAGUUUUGCCUUUAGGCAAGAUGAAUUAUUUAAGAUAUUACUCUCCACGAUUAAAUUAGAAUGGUCGAUUUAUAUGGUGAAUACUAAAGCGUGGGAAAUCUGACGAUACCUUGUCUUAAGAUGCAAUUUUUGGAAAAGGAAUAUACAGUAAAAAUAUCUGAGGGCAGUGGUACUUGCAAGCUAGAGGUGAAAUUCAUAGAUUUUGUAAUGGCCAACAGUUGCAAAGGCAUCUGCCCGACUUAUCUUUGGUGAUCAAGAAUUAAAGUGUGGGGAUCGAAGAGGAUUAGAUACCCUCGUAGUCCACACCCUAAACUAUGCCAACUAGUGAUUGGUAAACGUUAAGAACUUUAUCAGAACCUUAGCAGAUAUGAAAGUUUUUGGGCUCUGGGGGAAGUAUGGUCGCAAGGGCGAAACUUAAAGGAAUUGACGGAACGGCACCACCAGGGGUGGAGCGUGCGGCUUAAUUUGACUCAACGCGGGAAACCUUACUAGAGUAUGACAUUAAUGUGAUUGACAGAUUGAUUGGUUUUUCUUGAUUUAAUGGGUGGUGGUGCAUGGCCGAUCUUAGUUGGUGGGGUGACCCGUCUGGUUAAUUUCGAUAACGAACGAGACCCCUGCCUGCUAAAUAGUUCCGCCGAUGAAUAUUUCAUUAGCGAGAGCUUCUUAGAGGGACGUCCGUCUACUAGACGGAGGAAGAUAGGGGCAAUAACAGGUCUGUGAUGCCCUUAGAUGUUCUGGGCCGCACGCGCGCUACACUGACGCAUUCAACGAGUCUAUAACCUUGGCCGAGAGGCCUGGGCAAUCUUCUUAACGUGCGUCGUGAUAGGGAUUGAUCCUUGCAAUUUUGGAUCAUGAACGAGGAAUUCCUAGUAAAUAUGGGUCAUCAGCCCGUGUUGAUUACGUCCCUGCCCUUUGUACACACCGCCCGUCGCACCUACCGAUUGAAUGAUCCGGUGAGGCCUCGGGAUUAUGGCCCGUGCUAUUCAGUUAGUGUGGGCUAUGAGAACUUGUCCUAACCUUAUCAUUUAGAGGAAGGUGAAGUCGUAACAAGGUUUCCGUAGGUGAACCUGCGGAAG
rnacentral:rRNA from 1 species